rnacentral:rRNA from 1 species
UCGAACGAAGUAGCAAUACUUAGUGGCAGACGGGUGAGUAACAUGUAGGUAUCUGCCCUUUGGCCUGGAAUAACACGAGGAAACUUGUGCUAAUACCGGAUAAGUCUUUACGGAGAAAGCUUUAUGCACCAUUGGAUGAGCCUGCACUUGAUUAGUUUGUUGGUGGGGUAAUGGCCUACCAAGACUGCGAUCAAUAGCUGAUUUGAGAGGAUGAUCAGCCACAUUGGGACUGAGACACGGCCCAAACUCCUACGGGAGGCAGCAGUGGGGAAUCUUGCACAAUGGAGGAAACUCUGAUGCAGCGAUGCCGCGUGAGUGAAGAAGGCCCUUGGGUUGUAAAGCUCUUUCGUCGGGGAAGAAAAUGACUGUACCCGAAUAAGAAGGUCCGGCUAACUUCGUGCCAGCAGCCGCGGUAAUACGAAGGGACCUAGCGUAGUUCGGAAUUACUGGGCUUAAAGAGUUCGUAGGUGGUUGAAAAAGUUAGUGGUGAAAUCCCAGAGCUUAACUCUGGAACUGCCAUUAAAACUUUUCAGCUAGAGUAUGAUAGAGGAAAGCAGAAUUUCUAGUGUAGAGGUGAAAUUCGUAGAUAUUAGAAAGAAUACCAAUUGCGAAGGCAGCUUUCUGGAUCAUUACUGACACUGAGGAACGAAAGCAUGGGUAGCGAAGAGGAUUAGAU